rnacentral:tRNA from 1 species
GUUCGAGUCUCGUUUCCCGCUCAGUUGGUAGAGCACGACCUUGCCAAGGUCGGGGUCGCGAGUUCGAGUCUCGUUUCCCGCUCCA